UACGUAGGGUGCGAGCGUGUCCGGAAUUACUGGGCGUAAAGAGCUCGUAGGUGGUUUGUCGCGUUGUUCGUGAAAACUCACAACUCAAUUGUGGGCGUGCGGGCGAUACGGGGCAGACUGGAGUACUGCAGGGGAGACUGGAAUUCCUGGUGUAGCGGUGGAAUGCGCAGAUAUCAGGAGGAACACCGGUGGCGAAAGGCGGGC
rnacentral:rRNA from 1 species